CAAAGAAGAUGAAAAAUUUGAGGCAACGCGAUAACCAAAGCAUUACCAUAAAGCGAAGAUGUGCGAAUCGUUGAAAUCCUCGCGAAGGAUACACGCCAGUAAAUGAUCCUUUAACAUUCAGACGGUGUUCCUGGCCGACUGGAAGCGAUAAUCGACUUCGAAUAUUUAAGCAAUCACGAGAACCUGGACUCCUGCGUUACGUCAAGAACGUGCGCAAGUAUUCAGAUAACUAUAUGUGUACAAGCAGAGCUAAACGUUGCACGUGUGCACCUUUGGACGAGUUCGAGCCUGGCCGUCUGGAUCGGUUGGACCGUACGGAUCGUUUUAUCUCUUCUCGCCGGCUAUGAGAAAGUUGAGAUUACACGGAAAUAAGGCUCGUGGUUGUCGCCUCACGGUGAGAAGAAUUCGUCUCCAGCGAUUUGCAUACGUUCAAUGUUAACGAACGAAAUUCCUGACUAGGUACGGGCAUGAGAAGAAAGAAACAACCGUGGAACGUGUUCGGUUCGUGUUAUACUGGCAUCGUUUGUUCGCUACGUUAUGGACGAAGGACACUGUACCUUUGGUAAAUAGGAGAACUGAAAUCAGAAUCAGACUCCUUCAACAUCUUCCUAAGGACUCGCGUUACAUCUUAUCGAGCUGAUAAUAACUGAAAUGAUAAG
rnacentral:lncRNA from 1 species